rnacentral:sRNA from 1 species
CCUGAAUGAGGACCGCGCAGAUCAGGGUCUGGAUCGCCGUCGAGGCGAGCGAUCCAUUGAGGUAAUAAGUUGCAACGGCAAAAGCCGCCAAAGCGCCGAUCAUGCUCAGAAAAACACGCGGUGCGAACAUGGCGCUAACCUACCUUCGGGUCUGCG